AAUAGCAACAUGAUUUAUGUGAAUACAUGUCAUUUCUCAUUUAAUUGGUAAUAUAAAAUUAAAAAUCUUGACCUUUUUAAAAAUAUAUAUUUUUCUAUAUAAUAACCUUCCAUCUAUAAUAUGUCACCUUUGUUCAAAACUUUUCAAAUUAAUUAGAUUUUUUUUAUUUUAUACUUUUCAAACCAUUUAAUUGAAUGAUUCUUUUGAUUGAAACUAUUAAGUGGGUAGUGAGUUGUGGUGGUAGUAGCAAAAACUGUGGUGGCAUUAAUAAUAUCUUAUAU
rnacentral:lncRNA from 1 species